AUUGAACGCUGGCGGCAGGCUUAACACAUGCAAGUCGAGCGGAGCGAGGGUGCUUGCACCUUAGCUUAGCGGCGGACGGGUGAGUAAUGCUUAGGAAUCUGCCUAUUAGUGGGGGACAACAUUCCGAAAGGAAUGCUAAUACCGCAUACGCCCUACGGGGGAAAGCAGGGGAUCUUCGGACCUUGCGCUAAUAGAUGAGCCUAAGUCGGAUUAGCUAGUUGGUGGGGUAAAGGCCUACCAAGGCGACGAUCUGUAGCGGGUCUGAGAGGAUGAUCCGCCACACUGGGACGGAGAAACGGCCCAGAAUCCUACGGGAGGCAGCAGUGGGGAAUAUUGGACAAUGGGCGGAAGCCUGAUCCAGCCAUGCCGCGUGUGUGAAGAAGGCCUUUUGGUUGUAAAGCACUUUAAGCGAGGAGGAGGCUACUUAGAUUAAUACUCUGGGAUAGUGGACGUUACUCGCAGAAUAAGCACCGGCUAACUCUGUGCCAGCAGCCGCCGUAACAC
rnacentral:rRNA from 1 species